rnacentral:lncRNA from 1 species
UAGGAGCACAAGGUAUUAAUAUGUUUAUGUAAAAAAAAAAUUUAAGCAUAACUCAAUACAAGCAAUCGCUUAUAAAUUCAUUAAUGCUACUCCAAAGCGCUGCUCUGCGAUUUCUCAAGCUACUGACUUCCCAACAACUAGUACAAUAACUACUUCUUCCACCAUUUUCGUAUCAUUCAAUAAAAAAUAAGUCAAUAGUACUGUAAAUGAAGUCAUUAACUAGAUACAUAAUAUUGCAGAUUAAAAAUAGUAGAUACAUAAUGUUGCAGAAACAUAAUAAACCACAAAGACUAGACAACAAAUGCAACUUUCCCAAGCAUAGCAACAAAAUCCAGAACAUCCUUCAAUAAUUUUCUCUUGCUUACUCCAUAACAAACCUGCAUCUCAAGAAAAACAGUCAUUAGUGAUAAUAUUUGAUGAUGCUCUCUUAACAUAGCAGCAGUAUUAUAACCAAAUAAAAAACUAAUAGGUCUACUACAACUUCAUCAAUACCUCCUCCCCCCCCCCCCAAUUCCAAAUAGAUAAAAAGUGCAUUAGUGCAUUACAUAAGCUAGCCAUAAUUAUUUAUACAACUUUACUUAUCAAUGCGAACUAAGUUUAUCAAGAUACGGAUGAAGAUCUACCGCAAUUUCAUCCUCCUCGCUAUCUGAUUCAUUGCAAUCUUACAAAAACAAACAAGAAAAAAUAAAAAUAAUUUAUUGAAAUACUAUUAUAGAAGAACAAAACAAAAAAAUGAUAUACAUAGAAUGAUUUACCUUUUUUCCCGCAAAAUCAAUCUCUAGUACACAACUUCGCCUCUGCAUUUGCAGAUAAAAUAGAGUUUUGAAACAUCCCAAUAAUGUGACCUCUAAUGCUAAAGGUAGAUUCCGAGGCUACGAUGGUAAUAGGUAUACUCAAGACAUCUCGUUCCAUCAAUAAGAGUUAGUCUAUUUUUCUUCCAAAAGACAAGUACAUCCAAAUUUGCAUUUGCUUUACGGUCAAGAUUAGGCUCCUCGAAGUACAAAUCUAAUUAUGUUUUAUCUCUACCAGACUCCAACUGGUUCUCAAAUAUGUCAAAAUUCUCAAGCUCAUCUCUUGCUUUAUUGGUAUCUCUACCAUAAACUUGCUCCCCCAAUAAGGAAAUUGAGGUUGAAGUUACCAAGUAUUCCUUGAACAAUAAUUGCAAAUGAUCUUCAGCAACUUUUACCCUUGCAUCAGCAGUCAUAGGAUCAAUUUUGAAGAAAUAAAAUUUCACAAACUUCAUUUUGUAUCGGGGAUCAAGGACAAUGGCAAGUGAUAAGAUCUUACUGUAAGACCUCCAAUAUUUUUUAAAUUUUCUUAACAUUAAUGUAGCCAUCUCAUUCAUAAUUGGGUCACUACCAUCUCUUUCUUCCUCUAACAACAUUUGAAUUUUUCAUACAUUAGGUAGAUACAAAUUAGCAGUUGGAUAUUUGCUUCCAGAAAAUACUGUAGUGAUGUCAUAAAAUGGCUUAAAAAACUUAGCAAUAGACUCUACCUUUUUCCAUUCCUCAUCAGAGAGACCAUAUUUAAAAUCAGUAUCAACUAACUUAUAUUGAAUAUAAGCUUGCUGGUAGAGGAGAGCACUUUCAAGCAUUUGAUAAGUAGAAUUCCAACGAAUAGUCAUAUCUUGGCGAAGCUUCUUCGAACACGGUAGCCCAAGAUUUUUAAUUCAUUCCACGAACUUCAAAAUUCUUCCUUCCGAAUGUUUUAUAUGCUUAAUACCUUCUCUAAUUUUUACAAUAGAUGCAUCAGCUUUUUUCAAACCUGCCUUCACAAUUAAAUUCAAGACAUGGUUCCCAUAACGAACAUGAAAGAACUUUCCAUUACAAACUAGUGAACGCCUCAAAGAUAAAUGUUCCUUUAAAAUAUCAACCACACCCCUAUUACAACUAGCAUUAUCCAAAGUAAGAGUGAAGAUUUUCUUUUCAAUAUCCCAUUCCUUAAUAAACUCAAUUAGCAAGGUACCUAAAACCGAACCAGAAUGUGGAGGGGGCACAUGACGGAAAAUCAACACUCUCUUUUGAAGAAUCAAAUUCAAAUCAACAUAAUGAGCGGUUAAACACAUAUAUCCAUUUGAUGCUACAGAAGUUCACAUGUCUGAAGUCAAACACACUCUACUAGGAAUCUCUACAAGCUCAUUCUUUAAAAAUUCUUUUUCCCUAGCAUACAUUUUCAAAAUAUCAGACUUGGCGGUAUUUCUUGAAAUAGUUUUCACCAUUGGAUUUAAAUACAAAUGGAUAUCCCUGUUUCCUUGAUGCUCGGCAAAGCUAAAAGGAUAAUUAUGCUUCAGAAUUGCCACAGACAAUUUCUCACGAUAAAUUGCUUGAUCAAUUGGCUCAUCCCUACGCUCUUGUCUAUUAUUUAUGUGUGUAUCAAUAUGUCGCUUCAAAUUUGAAGUUCCAGACCUAGAGUCUGCCACAUAGAUCAUCUUACAGACUUUACAUUGCGCUUUACCUCUUUCACCAUUGCUAGCAAGAAGCAAUUUUUGAAAAGUAUUCCAAACAAUGGAAGUAUUUUUUUUAACUCGUUUUGUUGGGACUGAAGAACUAAUCUCUGACUCCUCAAUCGCCUCCUCAUUAACUUCUAUAGACAUCUCUGCCUAACAUAGAAAGUUUCAAAUACAAGCCUAGCAUAUUUAAUAUUUGAACAUAAAACAUAAUGAUUCAAAAUAUUAAGCAAACGACAAACCAAAAAGGGCUAUAAACAUCUCAAAAAUAGAAGAUUAAGCACAAAUUUCUGGAAAGGGAGUACUUUUUUUUUCUUUUUUGCAAUCCCUAAAAUAAAAAAUAAAACAAUGCUGAAACUAUUAUACAUGAAUCAAAGUAGAAAAUUAGUUAAAUCCCUAAAUAUUCAAGAAAUCCUCCGUAAAACCAUAACCUUAUAAAAUAAAAUAAAAUAACUUCUGCUUAUUUUUAGAGUUAGUCACAAACCCUAGCAGUCUAGCCUAAAAUUUGAAAAAAGAAAGGAAAAGAUGAAAAAGAGGGAAGAUGAGGAAGAAGGGUUUCAGAUGAGGAGAAGUUACCAUUGAGAAGAUUUGCCCGUGGAAGAAAGAGAAGAAGUUGAUGUUGGAAAAUUCUUCUGAGUUGUGAGAGUUUGGAAAAAUCGCAUAGAGCUUAACCCAUAUAGACAACUCGUAUAUUACCCAGUUUUUUACCCACAAAUACCCAUAUUUUUACGGGUAAAUAUGGGCUGAAGCCCAAAU